AAGAGAAACUGGUCGUCUCACAAGUCCAUCAAAACGGUACUUUCAGGAUCUCUCUAUAUGCACCGGAUUCAUAUGGCUCCAAUGGAAACAAAUGCUACUUGGGUGAGAGUAUUCGCACGGUCCAUGUAAUCUUUGGCGCGUUUGUGCUAGGCCCGUUCUCCUAUUCUCCAAAGCCUACAACCCUCCCUUUCGACAAAAGCACAUCACCAUUCCAUUGGUCGCUCAUCCAAAAAGGCAAUAUUGAGGAUACAUUCGACCUGCUGCUCACCUUGCUAUUUUUGUUUCAUUUGGGCUGGCUUCUUCGUGAUCUUGCUUGGAUAUCGAGGUCAUCGUUGGGCAAAGCACACCGACAUUUUACCUUGCUUUUCAGUUGAUCCUUUUCUAGUGUUUCAAUUCCAGGAAAAAAUAUGAAGAGGCCCUAAAGUCCGAACACUCCCUUCAAAAAGAUAACCCUUUCUUAUUUCUUGCUUACCUCAAGAUGCACUCACCUAUGCUGUAUUCUUGUGUUUAGAUUUUUGUCGAAGACCUUGUUGAUCAGCCAGUGACUCGAUGCAUCUCCUUAACCACACAAUACCUUUAAAAUGGAGAGACUCCUCGACUUGAGCAAAA